UCCCUGCAUAGACCACCAGAGUGGAUAUUGGAACAAGACAAAAGGAAAAAUGUGUAUUCAGAGCAGAAGUAAUCCUGCCUCUCCUAGUCAUUUUGGAGAAAGCAAGACAAAGAUAUUACUUCAACACAAAAGAACAAAGACAUGAAUAGUAUGAUUUGCAUCCUGUACUGUAAGAAAAUUUAACUCGUAAUGGAUAACCACAGCAGACCAAUUAAUAACCUCCAGAAAAGUUUCCAUUUGACGUAGGAUUUGUUGCAGUUAUUGAGGAGGUCUAAAAUUCCAAUGCUGUGUCCAGGAUCUCCCAAAUAGAAGAAACAAACAAACCAGACAUGGACACAUGAGCAACCCUCCAGAAGCAACACUCGUUUUCUGCACAGCCUCAUCAUUCCAAUGCUAGUUACUCAGCACCACUUGAGGAGUUUUUACCACAAGAAGAAAACAACUGCAAUGGUUGAUGCUGGGAACUAUGAGCACUCCCCAAGGCACCUUGGAGAAGCUCAAUGGGAGUGAGAGGAACAUGAGGAAUAGCUCAUUCGAUCAAACACUGAGCAGGCCAUGAUCAUUUCAUAAACCUUUUCCAAUUCUGUGACUCAUAAUUUCAUAAAUCCUACUUUUAUGAAAUAUUAUUGAUGCUCACAUAUAAUAUAUAUAAAAAAACAAAAAAAAAAAACAAAAGCAGAAAGUGGAAAAGUGGGAAAAGCAUUAAAUAGUAUGAUCUGCAGAGUGCAUU
rnacentral:lncRNA from 1 species